rnacentral:lncRNA from 1 species
GAUUUAAAGCAGCAGGAUUUGGCUUUAAUCUUAUUUUUUUACAGAACUUACAGCUAGCAGAAAAACACGUUGGAAAGCUGUUUAUUUUGAGAACAGGCUGAGACCCAGCAGCUGUCUCCAUGCAGGCAGGAGGUCAUCUCUCAGUGGGCCUGAGCACCAUCCACACCUUCACCCCAUCCUGGUGAGGAGCAGACUGGGCCCCAGUGUUCUGGGAGAUGCUCUGUGCUUGGUGGACUGGGAUGGGCCUCCUUGGUGAGAGCAGCCAGCUGCUGUCACUUGUGUCAGGAAGCUGGGCCGGCCAGAGCACGGCGAGGUGGUGAUUGCUCUGCUAACAUCCCAUGCCCGAUAGCAGGAUGCCAUCAGAUGCAUUAGGGAAGCUGCAAGGAUCACCCCAACCUCCGAGCAGCAAGGCAGGCUGAGCUGCACAUCAUAGCUAGGCAAGUGCUUGAAAACUCCAGCAGAUGCUGAAGGGAAAAGCCCUGUUUGGGAAAAAUAGUGAUGAAUCAGAACUUGGAGCCUGGAUGCUGGUACAGCUCUGGCUUCUCCAUCAGCACCUGUGGCUGAUUGUCACGUAAACCCCACAGCUUUGGGCAAACUCAAUUCCACUUCUGAUGAAGGCUGAGCUGUGGGACAGCUAUGGUGGAAGAGCACAGCUGGGAUGAGCAGGAGGUGCUCAGUUUGCUGAGCACAGGGAAUGGGCAACUUUUCAAUCAUUGCAAAAGAGUUGCAACCAUAGAAAGAUGCCUAGAGGUCCCAUUUACCGAAUUCAAGAGACAAUCUGAUUGAGACCUUAAUUCAGGCUUUCUGUCAUUUCUCCACAUCAAACUGCCAAAGCUUCAACAGUUUAUUCCUCAGUGUUGAACAGCUCAGUUGGAACCACUAGGACACUUGUGACAGCUGAAG